UACGUAGGGGGCAAGCGUUGUCCGGAAUCAUUGGGCGUAAAGCGCGUGUAGGCGGCCCAGUAAGUCCGCUCUGAAAGCCCGGGGCUCAACCCCGGGAGGCGGGUGGAUACUGCUAGGCUCGAGUCCGGAAGAGGCGAGUGGAAUUCCUGGUGUAGCGGUGAAAUGCGCAGAUAUCAGGAGGAACACCGAUUGCGAAGGCAGCUCGCUGGGACGGUACUGACGCUGAGACGCGAAAGCGUGGGGAGCAAACAGG
rnacentral:rRNA from 1 species